rnacentral:rRNA from 1 species
UACGUAGGGACCAAGCGUUGUUCGGAUUUACUGGGCGUAAAGGGCGCGUAGGCGGCGCGGUAAGUCACUUGUGAAAUCUCUGAGCUUAACUCAGAACGGCCAAGUGAUACUGCAGUGCUAGAGUGUGGAAGGGGCAAUCGGAAUUCUUGGUGUAGCGGUGAAAUGCGUAGAUAUCAAGAGGAACACCUGAGGUGAAGACGGGUUGCUGGGCUGACACUGACGCUGACAGCGCGAAAGCUAGGGGAGCGAACGGG